rnacentral:misc_RNA from 1 species
AUAAACCUGAUGUGGCUGUUAGCUGGCUUUUCGAAGCAUGUGCUCGCCCGUCAUCUUUAUCUCUCCACCUGUGCACAUUUUGUAGUCUUUCGAUAUCUCUCGAGGCAACUCGGAUUUUAGAAUCGUCGUGCUGUACAAGUCGGCUUUUCUUUCCUUUCCAAGACUAUGUUUUUAUAUACACCAAAGUAUGUUUAAAGAAUGUCAUCAAUAGGAACUUGUUUCCUAUAAAAUCAUACAAC